CCAAACAGCGCUAAGGCAUCUACAGCAAAGCUCGAUUUCUGGUUUUGCUGAGGCUCAUGCUCACAGAUCAUGAAGACAGCCAGGCGGUGGAGGAAAUGAAGAGGCUUUCGAGGGAGGGGUGAGGGGGACACGGGCAGGUGCUGCUGGCAGUGAGUGGCUGCCUCUGCAGCUCGGAUGGCUUCUCCUGCUGCCUGCCGCCACUGCUGACCCUCGCCCAGGAGGCAGGUUGCCCAGAGGAACAAGACUUGGUGGAGGAGAAGAGGCAUCAGCUUCCCGUGGCCCCGUGUCUGCCUCUGGUAAACACCUCUGAGAAAAACUGCUUUGAGCUAACGGGCACCACUUGUCCCAAGAAUCCCCUGAAGGUCCUUGGGUGGGAUGAACUGGACCACUCACAGCAUUUGGGCCCUCAGAGCCAGCAAUGCCUCCCUGGAGAAUCUUGCCCGGUCGCUUUCACCAGGCAACAACAUCACCAUGAAGCCAGAGACCAGCAUGAACACGGCAGCCACUGCCCUCUCAGGAUCCCUUGGUGUUGUGGGCCUCCUCUUGCUCCUGGUGGGUCUCUUGGUCAUGGUCUUGAAGAAAUGGAGGCACGAGAGACUAUUUAAGAAUCAACUGAGACGUCAGACCAAUUUUCUCCACAAACCUUUGGUAAGGCAGUAAGUGAAGCCACAUACAGAGAGGGCCCUGGCCAUCUCUGCAUGUGGUUUCUUGGUGUUUCCUAGAUGGAACUGAAGUGGGUGACUGGUCAGGAAGCAAUGUGCUUGAAAACCCAGGGCUCUGCUCACCAGCCUAUAGGGAGAGCCAGGCACCUGGCUUUGUUUUUAGAAGUCCCCACUGCUUGACUAUCUAUUACUGUACUGUUUCUAAAGGAUUCUUCCUGCCAAGCUGAGGCUGUGUAUUGCAACGUGGCCCCCUGGAAAGAGGAAGACUUCACCAUCUAUGCCAAUAUGCCCCAAUUCGAUUGCCCCAGGAGGACAAGGAAGACACCAGACCAAGUGGAAUAUGCCUCUAUUGUAUUCCGCUGAUGGGACCUGGGGCACUGCGAGUGGCGGGGAAAGGACUCUGGAUCCAAACACCACUCCCGUUUUUGAUGUGUGAAUAUAUGUGUGUUUCUAAAAAAUGCACAAAACACUUGUGGGUGGAGGUUGAUGGCUAGGUAUUGCUUCUAACUUACUGGAGUCAAAGUUUGGUCCCAGUGGGAAGGAGUGACAUAGGAGACACAAAGACAUGCUUGUUCAUUGUUGUUGCCAGCUCUCCCCAAGUCCAGAGACAGGUUGUGAGAUGAAGGGGCCAGCAGCGUGCUCUCCCAAGGCAAAGGAGGUUGGGGUGAGGUGGUAGAUGCUUCCCAUCCAGGAUGUGGCUAUUCUGCCAUGCCUGGAAGUGACACCCUGUAGGACAGCAGACACACACUUGCGUAGGUGACACACGAUUGACUCUCUGCUGGACGGGAUGCCCCCAGUGGGGAGCAGGAGGGCUGCGGGUGCGUGGGAAGAGCUUCUUACUGGAGGACUUGGUGCCAUCUGGGAAAGAACUGGGGAAAGAACAAGAGGUAAGAAGUGGGCAGCACUCACUGCUAGCCUCGGGAUUUGGGGCGAUGCCUGGAACUUUGUAAUUGAUUUGCUCCUUUGUCCCCCCCAAAACAAAUCUGUGUUUAGCACUUCUGUGCUUAAGGUCCUGGAACUAUAACAAGGAACCCUACAGACAAAACAUUAUCAUCAUAGAGCGUACCAUCUAGAAUGAACAAAUGUACAAGCAAAUACCCAGCAUGUCAGGCGUUGUUAUGUCCUAUGGAGAAAAUAAAGCAGGUCAUUGGGUGGGAAGUGCUGGGUGGGAGCAGGUUUUGUACUGGACGGU
ensembl:lincRNA